UGGGGAAUUUUGGACAAUGGGGGAAACCCUGAUCCAGCCAUCCCGCGUGUGCGAUGAAGGCCUUCGGGUUGUAAAGCACUUUUGGCAGGAAAGAAACGUCAUGGGUUAAUACCCCGUGAAACUGACGGUACCUGCAGAAUAAGCACCGGCUAACUACGUGCCAGCAGCCGCGGUAAUACGUAGGGUGCAAGCGUUAAUCGGAAUUACUGGGCGUAAAGCGUGCGCAGGCGGUUCGGAAAGAAAGAUGUGAAAUCCCAGAGCUCAACUUUGGAACUGCAUUUUUAACUACCGGGCUAGAGUGUGUCAGAGGGAGGUGGAAUUCCGCGUGUAGCAGUGAAAUGCGUAGAUAUGCGGAGGAACACCGAUGGCGAAGGCAGCCUCCUGGGAUAACACUGACGCUCAUGCUCGAAAGCGUGGGGAGCAAACAGG
rnacentral:rRNA from 1 species